AUUGGCCUACCAUGGCGUUAACGGGUGACGGAGAAUUAGGGUUCGGUUCCGGAGAGGGAGCCUGAGAGACGGCUACCACAUCCAAGGAAGGCAGCAGGCGCGAAAAUUGCCCAAUCUCAACCCGAGGAGGCAGUGACGACAAAUAACAAUGCGGGGCUUUUCAAGUCUUGCAAUUGGAAUGAGUACAAUCUAAACCCUUUAACGAGGAUCAAUUGGAGGGCAAGUCUGGUGCCAGCAGCCGCGGUAAUUCCAGCUCCAAUAGCUUAUAUUAAAGUUGUUGCAGUUAAAAAGCUCGUAGUUGAAUCUCUUGCAGCGGCGAGCCGCGGGUGGUUUACUCUUGCCCACGGCCCGUACGCUGCAUUUCUCGGGAGGUAGCUUGCCAGGGCUUCACUGUCCUGGCAGGCGAGACCCGUCAGUUACUGUGAGCAAAACGGAGCGUUUAAAGCAGGCAAUCGCUUGAACGACUUAGCAUGGAAUAACAAGACAUGACGCGGGUCAAUCUUGUUGGUUUGUGACCCUUGUAAUGGUUAACAGGAACGGUUGGGGGUGUUUGUAUUUUCUAGUCAGAGGUGAAAUUCUUGGAUUUAGAGAAGACAAACGACUGCGAAAGCAUUCACCAAGGAUGUUUUCAUUAAUCAAGAACGAAAGUUUGGGGAUCGAAGAUGAUUAGAUACCAUCGUAGUCCAAACCAUAAACGAUGCCGGCUCAGGAUCCCCAGUCGUUGAUUCCGACUCUGGGGGCACUGUAUGAGAAAUCAAAGCCUUUGGGUUCCGGGGGGAGUAUGAUCGCAAGAUUGAAACUUAAAGGAAUUGACGGAAGGGCACACCAGAGGUGGAGCCUGCGGUUUAAUUUGACCCAACACGGGGAAACUUACCAGGUCCAGACAUAGCGAGGAUUGACAGUUUGAAAGCACUUUCUUGAUUCUAUGGGUGGUGGUGCAUGGCCGUUCUUAGUUGGUGGAGUGAUUUGUCUGGUUGAUUCCGAUAACGAACGAGACCCGCGCUGAUAAAUAGGACGCAUGGUCUCACGACCGUGCGCGCCUUCUUACCAGGACAACUCUUGUUUAAAGAGGGGAAGCGGCGGGCAAUAACAGGUCUGUGAUGCCCUUAGAUGUUCUGGGCGACACGCGCGCUACAAUGAUUGGCUCAACGGGUUUCUUCCUUGCCCGGAAGGGCAUGGGUAAUCCUUUCAAUACCAAUCGUGAUGGGGCUAGAUGCUUGCAAUUAUUCAUCUUCAACGAGGAAUCUCUAGUAUGUGCGUGUCAUCAGCGCGCGCAGAAUGCGUCCCUGCCCUUUGUACACACCGCCCGUCGCAGCUACCGAUUGGAUGGUCCGACAAGAGUUCAGGAGGCUUCUCUUUUGGGGGCUUUCGGGCCCCCUCUGAGAGACUGAAUUUACUCAAAUCUUAUCAUCUAGAGGAAGCUGAAGUCGUAACAAGGUC
rnacentral:rRNA from 1 species